rnacentral:rRNA from 4 species
UGCCCGGUAGCUAAAUGCGGAAGAGAUAAGUGCUGAAAGCAUCUAAGCACGAAACUUGCCCCGAGAUGAGUUCUCCCUGACUCCUUGAGAGUCCUGAAGGAACGUUGAAGACGACGACGUUGAUAGGCCGGGUGUGUAAGCGCAGCGAUGCGUUGAGCUAACCGGUACUAAUGAACCGUGAGGCUUAACCUUACAACGCCGAAGGUGUUU